CCGAGAGAUGGACGAGGCCAGGCCGCCAUGGAGUGCCCGACUCCGGCCGCUGGGUCCUGUCUGCAGUGGGAGGGUCAGAGCUGCCACCGCGGCUGUGUUUUCUGGGGGGUUUCUGUCGUGGCCUCUGGACAGAGGGGCCCCACACUCUCCCCUUGUUUGUCCAGGAGCCUGAAGGGCCCUGGUGUCCAGCCUCUCUUGAUGCAUCCCUCUGGGUUGAGCCAGCCUGUGGGGCCUGAGUUUCUGUGUUUUAUUUCUGAUUCCAGUUGACCAGGGAGGAAGGAGGUGGGUCCCAGAGCCUGGCGUCCGGGACCCUGGGAAGGGGUGGGGAGAGGGCCGUGACCUCUGAGGCCCGCCUGCCGCGGAGCUGGGGACACCCGUGCCCCACCCGUGGCCGGACGUGUCCUGCACAGGGUCCCUCUCGACGGAGCAGUGGGUGUGUGGCUCCGGGGGUGGGGUGGGCCCUCGGUGACCCCCGGCCUCUGGCCCUCCGCUGAGCUGGGCCAGCCGCGUGGCUUUCUAAGCUGUCCUGCAGGAUCCCGCCCGAACCCGUCUGGGUUUCCUCUCGCGUUCGAGGGCUUCUGCGGUUUGUCUGAGCAUUUCCGCUCCGGGUGGUUUCAGAUCCCCUCUCUUCGAGGGAAGGCUUCUCUCACUCUGACCUUCACCUGUUUGUGGUGCUGCCUUCGUGCCAGCGGCGGGUUCCCGUGCUCCUCGGGAGGUGUAUGUGUGUGGAGUGCUCCCUGGGAGGUGUGUGUGUGCUCCCCGGGAGGUGUGUGUGUGGGUGCUCCCCAGGAGGUGUGUGUUUUGAGAGGGGUGCUCCCGGGGAGGGGUGUGUGUGUGUGGGGGUGGGGGUGCUCCCCAGGAGGUGUGUGUGGGGGGGGGUUGCUCCCUGGGAGGUGUGUGUUUUGAGAGGGGUGCUCCUGGGGAGGGAGGUGUGUGUGUGUAUGUGUGUGGAGUGCUCCCUGGGAGGUGUGUGUUUUGAGAGGAGUGCUCCUGGGGAGGGGUGUGUGUGUGGGGGG
ensembl:lincRNA